rnacentral:rRNA from 1 species
GAGUUUGAUCCUGGCUCAGGAUGAACGCUAGCUACAGGCUUAACACAUGCAAGUCGAGGGGCAGCGGGGAGGAUGCUUGCAUUCUCUGCCGGCGACCGGCGCACGGGUGAGUAACGCGUACCGAACCUGCCUCAUACUCGGGAAUAGCCUUGCGAAAGUAAGAUUAAUGCCCGGUGUUCCGCGAGGGCCGCAUGGCCUUUUCGGCAAAGUUAUUUACGGUAUGAGAUGGCGGUGCGUCCCAUUAGCUUGUUGGCGGGGUAACGGCCCACCAAGGCGACGAUGGGUAGGGGUUCUGAGAGGAAGGUCCCCCACAUGGGAACUGAGACACGGUCCAAACUCCUACGGGAGGCAGCAGUGAGGAAUAUUGGUCAAUGGGCGAAAGCCUGAACCAGCCAAGUAGCGUGCAGGAUGACGGCCCUCUGGGUUGUAAACUGCUUUUAGUCGGGAAUAAAAUGCGGCACGUGUGCCGCUUCGCAUGUACCGUCAGAAAAAGGACCGGCUAAUUCCGUGCCAGCAGCCGCGGUAAUACGGAAGGUCCAGGCGUUAUCCGGAUUUAUUGGGUUUAAAGGGAGCGCACGCGGACUUUUAAGUCAGCUGUAAAUUCGGUGGCUCACCAUCGCAUGCAGUGAAACUGGAGGUCUUGAGUGUACACAGGGAUGCUGGAAUCAUGGUGUAGCGGUGAAAUGCUCAGAUAUCAUGAAGAACUCCAAUCGCGAAGGCAGGCAUCCGGGGUACAACUGACGCUGAGGCUCGAAAGUGCGGGUAUCANACAGGAUUAGAUACCCUGGUAGUCCGCACGGUAAACGAUGGAUACUCGCGGUGUGCGAUAUAAUGUGCGCCGCCAAGCGAAAGCGUUAAGUAUCCCACCUGGGGAGUACGCCGGCAACGGUGAAACUCAAAGGAAUUGACGGGGGCCCGCACAAGCGGAGGAACAUGUGGUUUAAUUCGAUGAUACGCGAGGAACCUUACCCGGGCUUGAACUCGGCAGGAAGGAUGCAGAGACGCAUUCGUCUUCGGACCUGCCGGGAGGUGCUGCAUGGUUGUCGUCAGCUCGUGCCGUGAGGUGUCGGCUUAAGUGCCAAAACGAGCGCAACCCCUAUCCUCGUUUGCCAUCAGGUAAUGCUGGGCACUCCGGGGACACUGCCAUCGUAAGAUGUGAGGAAGGCGGGGAUGACGUCAAAUCAGCACGGCCCUUACGUCCGGGGCUACACACGUGUUACAAUGGGCGGUACAGAGGGCAGCCACCUGGCGACAGGGCGCCAAUCCUCAAAGCCGUUCUCAGUUCGGACUGGAGUCUGCAACCCGACUCCACGAAGCUGGAUUCGCUAGUGAUCGCGCAUCAGCCAUGGCGCGGUGAAUACGUUCCCGGGCCUUGUACACACCGCCCGUC